rnacentral:tRNA from 1 species
GCCCUUGUAGCUCAGUGGUGGAGUACCUCCUUGGUAAGGAGAAGGUCAUGGGUUCAAUUCCCAUCAAGGGCU